rnacentral:misc_RNA from 1 species
GCAAACUUGGUCAUUUAGAGGAAGUAAAAGUCGUAACAAGGUUUCCGUAGGUGAACCUGCGGAAGGAUCAUUACCGAGUUCGGGUCCUCUGGGCCCUUCUCCAACCCUUGUCUACUUCUCCUGUUGCUUCGGCAGGCCCGUCUCAAGACCGCCGGGGUUGCCUGGCCUGUGCCUGCCGAAAGCCCCUUCCAAUACUCUUGAACAGUGAUAACUGAGUUUACUUAAAAAUUAUUUAAAACUUUCAACAACGGAUCUCUUGGUUCUGGCAUCGAUGAAGAACGCAGC